rnacentral:rRNA from 1 species
AUUGAACGCUGGCGGCAUGCCUUACACAUGCAAGUCGAACGGCAGCACGGGGGCAACCCUGGUGGCGAGUGGCGAACGGGUGAGUAACAUAUCGGAACAUACCCUAGAGUGGGGGAUAACGUAGCGAAAGUUACGCUAAUACCGCAUACGAUCUAAGGAUGAAAGUGGGGGAUCUUCGGACCUCAUGCUCAUGGAGUGGCCGAUAUCUGAUUAGCUAGUUGGUGAGGUAAAGGCUCACCAAGGCGACGAUCAGUAGCUGGUUUGAGAGAACGACCAGCCACACUGGAACUGAGACACGGUCCAGACUCCUACGGAGGCAGCAGUGGGGAAUUUUGGGACAAUGGGGGCAACCCUGAUCCAGCAAUGCCGCGUGAGUGAAGAAGGCCUUCGGUUGUAAG